rnacentral:tRNA from 1 species
GCCGGAGUAGCUCAGCCUGGCAGAGCAACUCCUUUGUAAGGAGUCAGUCACGAGUUCAAAUCUCUUCUCCGGCU